rnacentral:rRNA from 1 species
GACGAACGCUGGCGGCGUGCUUAACACAUGCAAGUCGAACGGUGAAGGGACCGGUUUUUGCUGGUUCUGGAUGAGUGGCGAACGGGUGAGUAACACGUGAGUAACCUGCCCCCUUCUUCCGGAUAACCGCAUGAAAGUGUGGCUAAUACGGGAUAUUCUGCGCCUGCUGCAUGGUGGGUGUGGGAAAGAUAUUGUUUCGGUGGGGGAUGGGCUCGCGGCCUAUCAGCUUGUUGGUGGGGUGAUGGCCUACCAAGGCGGUGACGGGUAGCCGGCCUGAGAGGGUGGACGGUCACACUGGGACUGAGACACGGCCCAGACUCCUACGGGAGGCAGCAGUGGGGAAUAUUGCACAAUGGGCGCAAGCCUGAUGCAGCGACGCCGCGUGAGGGAUGGAGGCCUUCGGGUUGUAAACCUCUUUCGCCAGUGAAGCAGGCCUGUCCCUUUUGUGGGUGGGUUGACGGUAGCUGGAGAAGAAGCGCCGGCUAACUACGUG